AGGGUUUGAUUAUGGCUCAGGAUGAACGCUGGCGGCGUGCUUAACACAUGCAAGUCGAACGAAGCAUCUUCAUUGAUUUUCUUCGGAAAUGAAGUGAUUAUGACUGAGUGGCGGACGGGUGAGUAACGCGUGGAUAACCUGCCUCACACAGGGGGAUAACAGUCAGAAAUGACUGCUAAUACCGCAUAAGCGCACAGUACCGCAUGGUACAGUGUGAAAAGCUCCGGCGGUGUGAGAUGGAUCCGCGUCUGAUUAGGCAGUUGGCGGGGUAGAGGCCCACCAAACCAACGAUCAGUAGCCGGCCUGAGAGGGCGACCGGCCACAUUGGGACUGAGACACGGCCCAG
rnacentral:rRNA from 1 species